rnacentral:rRNA from 1 species
AUUGAACGCUGGCGGCAGGCCUAACACAUGCAAGUCGAGCGAGCGGCGGACGGGUGCGUAAUGUCUGGGCAUCUGCCUGCUGGCGGGGGAUAACUACUGGAAACGGUAGCUAAUACCGCAUACCAUCAGAUGUGCCCCGAUGGGAUUAGCUACUAGGUGGGGUAACGGCUCACCUAGGCGACGCUCCCUAGCUGGUCUGAGAGGAUGACCAGCCACACUGGAACGGAGACACGGUCCAGAGUCCUACGGUAGGCAGAAGUGGGGAAUAUUGCACAAUGGGCGCAAGCCUGAGGCAGCCAGGCGGCGUGGAUGAAGAAGGCCUUCGGGUUGUAAAGUACGUUCAGCGGGGAGGCGGUACCCGCAGAAGAAGCACCGGCUAACUCCGUGCCAGCAGCCGCGGUAAUAC